CUUCCCCUUCCCCUUCCCCUCCGCUCGGUUUUCCCAAGCCUCCCCGUCCCCCGAACUCUUCCUCCCGCUCCAAAGCACUGCUUGCCGUUCCGGGAUCCCUGCAAUUCGUCGCCGAUAGGCCUUCUGAUUGUAGACACAUCCGAGCUCCGGCGCUCGCGUUGGAUCCGUUCAUCCUUUACGUGGAAGGAGUCCAUCGAUGCGGCCAUCCUCGCGCACACCGUUGGUCUGCUUCUGGCUCUCCUGACGCGGGCAACCUCGGACGCGCCGCUCUGCUCCGGGUUUCCUCGCGCUGGCGUCCUCGGACGCACAAGACGCGCCCAUCACCAUCGCGGCCCGAUUCCAGUGUAACGGCCGUGCCUGACCUGGCCAUCUCUGUGAAGCCAAGCGAGUUGUGCGCACGCGUUGCUCUGCUCCAUGCCCUCCUCGCGUCGACAGUCUCAGACGUACCAUGACCAUCCCUGUUGCGGCCACGUUUCCAGCGGAUGAGUUUGGGAAGGAGAAGGUCGCUGGCCUCACAAAUGCCCUCUUUAUGUUGCUAUGAACACCCGCAAGCCCAACUGAAAAAGAGCAUAAGCAUCUCUUCUCCUUGCGAUUGGCCCGUCAGGCCGUCAGUGCAUGCACUUGUUAGCUGUUGUAUUUUUGGAUUUCUGGUGGUGCUUUGGAGGAUUAAUCUUCUGUCUUUUUUGAUGGAUUUCCAUGGUCUGCACAGCUCCGAUGAAGAUCAGUACCAAUGGUGCUUGCUAGCUUGAACUUGGGGAGGACGGCGACCUACGGACUACAACAACAACGCUUCUGCAGUUUAAGGUCAAGUGCUCCUGUGUUGAUCUUCAGUUUGUUAUUUUCCCAGAUGUACAUGCUGGAACACUGUGCAGCCCAAUUCUAUGUUGUUCUCCGGAUAAGUAUAAAUGUCUGAGAAUGAAUUAGCGCUUCUUGAUGUGCAGCCUAAUCCUAAUUCUGAAUUUCAUAUAAAACCAUCUGGCAGGUUUGGUACGUACGAGCCCCAUCUUUUACAAUAUUUUGAUUUUUAUCUGCACUACACAUGCAUUGCAUUUGAUUCUGCAUAUCUUAGAUAGCCAAAUCAUGUGAUUUCUUAUAUGUGCUACACAGCCUAACGGGUAAUCUUUCUGCACCCAUACGAACCUUCUUAAACAUUGGGUUAAUUUUCUGAAAAAAUAUUGGGUAAUUAUUCUCCUUUUGCGUGGAAAAAAUAAAUAGAUUAAUUGACUUCACAAAGUAACAAUUUGGUCCACUGUUUACAUAAAUUUAAUUGUCACUACUUGUAUUUCCAUUGUAGGAAUCAUAUGCAUGGGUCCUCUCACACAAGUGAUUUCUUUUGUUGGGAAUAAAAGAAACAUGUGAUUAGUUAAUGGUUACACCAAUACAUCCUGUAUAUCAGGGUUGUGACCUUUCAUCGCAAAGUUGAUCAAAGUUUUCAAUAUUGGGUACAUACAAUAGCUGAUUCAUUGUAUGCUUCCACCCAUUAGUUUGUAAACACUUUCUCUCAGCGCCGGAGAUGGCUUAUGAGAAUGUUACUUCUUUUUAUAGUGGAACACUUGAGGAGGAUAACUAAAUUGCUUCAUGUAUCUAUAUUACAUGUUAUGUAAAUCUUUUUCCUUGAAAAAAUAGUUCUAUAA